UGGGGAAUAUUGCACAAUGGGCGCAAGCCUGAUGCAGCCAUGCCGCGUGUGUGAAGAAGGCCUUCGGGUUGUAAAGCACUUUCAGCGAGGAGGAAGGCAGUCGUGUUAAUAGCACGAUUGAUUGACGUUACUCGCAGAAGAAGCACCGGCUAACUCCGUGCCAGCAGCCGCGGUAAUACGGAGGGUGCAAGCGUUAAUCGGAAUUACUGGGCGUAAAGCGCACGCAGGCGGUUUGUUAAGUCAGAUGUGAAAUCCCCGCGCUUAACGUGGGAACUGCAUUUGAAACUGGCAAGCUAGAGUCUUGUAGAGGGGGGUAGAAUUCCAGGUGUAGCGGUGAAAUGCGUAGAGAUCUGGAGGAAUACCGGUGGCGAAGGCGGCCCCCCUGGACAAAGACUGACGCUCAGGUGCGAA
rnacentral:rRNA from 1 species